GAUGAACGCUGGCGGCGUGCUUAACACAUGCAAGUCGAACGAACCUUCGGGUUAGUGGCGGACGGGUGAGUAACGCGUGAGAAUCUGCCCUCAGGAGGGGGAUAACGACUGGAAACGGUCGCUAAUACCCCAUAUGCCGAGAGGUGAAAUGAAUUUCGCCUGAGGAUGAGCUCGCGUCUGAUUAGCUAGUUGGUGGGGUAAAGGCCUACCAAGGCGACGAUCAGUAGCUGGUCUGAGAGGAUGAUCAGCCACACUGGGACUGAGACACGGCCCAGACUCCUACGGGAGGCAGCAGUGGGGAAUUUUCCGCAAUGGGCGAAAGCCUGACGGAGCAACGCCGCGUGAGGGAUGAAGGCCUCUGGGCUGUAAACCUCUUUUCUCAAGGAAGAAGA
rnacentral:rRNA from 1 species